AGUGAACGCUGGCGGUAGGCCUAACACAUGCGAGUCGAACGGCAGCACACUAAGAGCUUGCUCUUACGGGUGGCGAGUGGCGGACGGGUGACGAAUACAUCGGAAUCUACUUUUUCGUGGAGGAUAACGUAGGUAAACUUACGCUAAUACCGCAUACGCCCUACGGUGGAAAGCAUGGGAUCUUCUGACCUUGUGCGGUUGAAUGAGCCGAUGUCGGGCUUGCUAGUUGGCUGGGUGAAGGCCCACCCAGGCGACGAUCCGUAGCUGGUCUGAGAGGCUGGUCGGCGACACUGGAACGGAGACGGGGACCAGGGUACUACGGGAGGGAGCAGUGGGGAAUAUUGGACAGUGGGCGGGAGCCUGGUACAGCGAUACCGAGUGGGUGGAGAAGGCGUUCGGGUUGUAAAGACCGUUUGUUGGGAAAGAAAAGCAGCAGGUUAAUACGACGCUGUAGUGACGGUACCCAAAGAAUAAGCACCGGCUAACUUCGUG
rnacentral:rRNA from 1 species